rnacentral:misc_RNA from 1 species
GAUGAAGAACGCAGCGAAAUGCGAUAAGUAAUGUGAAUUGCAGAAUUCAGUGAAUCAUCGAAUCUUGAACGCACAUUGCGCCCCUUGGUAUUCCGAGGGGCAUGCCUGUUCGAGCGUCAUUAUAACCCCUCAAGCUCAGCUUGGUGUUGGGGCCUGCUGCACUGGCAGCCCUUAAAAUCAGUGGCGGCGCCAUCUGGCUCUAAGCGUAGUAAUUCUUCUCGCUAUGGAGUCCUGGUGGAUGCUUGCCAUCAACCCCCAAUUUUUCUAUGGUUGACCUCGGAUCAGGUAGGGAUACCCGCUGAACUUAAGCAUAUCAAUAAGCGGAGGA